rnacentral:rRNA from 1 species
GAUGAACGCUAGCGGCAGGCCUAACACAUGCAAGUCGAGGGGUAUAGGGAGCUUGCUUCCUAGAGACCGGCGCACGGGUGCGUAACGCGUAUGCAAUCUACCUUGUACAGGGGAAUAGCCCAGAGAAAUUUGGAUUAAUGCCCCAUAGUAUUAUUAAAUGGCAUCCUUUAAUAAUUAAAGUUCCAACGGUACAAGAUGAGCAUGCGUCCUAUUAGUUAGUUGGUGUGGUAACGGCAUACCAAGACGAUGAUAGGUAGGGGUCCUGAGAGGGAGAUCGGCCACAUUGGGACUGAGACACGGCCCAGACUCCUACGGGAGGCAGCAGUGGGGAAUAUUGCACAAUGGGGGAAACCCUGAUGCAGCAACGCCGCGUGAGUGAUGACGGUCUUCGGAUUGUAAAACUCUGUCUUCAGGGACGAUAAUGACGGUACCUGAGGAGGAAGCCACGGCUAACUACGUGCCAGCAGCCGCGGUAAAGUACAGUGU